GCCGGAGUGGCGGAAUGGCAGACGCAGCAGACUCAAAAUCUGCCGAUAGCAAUAUCGUGUGGGUUCAAGUCCCACCUCCGGCA
rnacentral:tRNA from 3 species